ensembl:ncRNA C08D8.6 ncRNA
CCACUUUGAAUGCGGGCUGAGGAAGGAAAAGUCCGAUGGCAAUGGAAACAAGCGUGCAGAUAAAAAAUGAGCCAACGACUAGACGA